GACGAACGCUGGCGGCGUGCCUAAUACAUGCAAGUCGAACGAACUCUGGUAAUGAUUGGUGCUUGCAUCAUGAAUUACAUUUGAGUGAGUGGCGAACUGGUGAGUAACACGUGGGAAACCUGCCCAGAAGCGGGGGAUAACAACUGGAAACAGAUGCUAAUACCGCAUAACAACUUGGACCGCAUGGUCCGAGUUUGAAAGAUGGCUUCGGCUAUCACUUUUGGAUGGUCCCGCGGCGUAUUAGCUAGAUGGUGAGGUAACGGCUCACCAUGGCAAUGAUACGUAGCCGACCUGAGAGGGUAAUCGGCCACAUUGGGACUGAGACACGGCCCAAACUCCUACGGGAGGCAGCAGUAGGGAAUCUUCCACAAUGGACGAAAGUCUGAUGGAGCAACGCCGCGUGAGUGAAGAAGGGUUUCGGCUCGUAAAACUCUGUUGUUAAAGAAGAACAUAUCUGAGAGUAACUGUUCAGGUAUUGACGGUAUUUAACCAGAAAGCCACGGCUAACUACGUGCCAGCAGCCGCGGUAA
rnacentral:rRNA from 1 species